rnacentral:sRNA from 12 species
CCUGUGGACUGUACAAGAACUUGUUAGUAGAUUAAUUUAUUAAUCGAAAGCAUACAGGAUGAAAUAGGAA